CUCCUCGAGUUUGUAAAGACCAUUGUCUUUUUCUAUUGAGAAUUCUCGGAUCUGGGGGCAUUGGAGUGGCUGUGGGCUUUUUUUUUUUUUCUUUUGAUUUUACUGUCGGGAAUGCUCUGAAUUAAGAGUGUUGUGGGAUACAGUUAUAUGGCUCAUGUGGAUUAAGUUAUUGCUAGCCUUCCCAGUGUCUAGAAUUAAGUAGGGAUACCUCAUAACCCACACUGCAGUGAAUUGCAAAUGUGACCUAAAUGUGCCAGAAGUCUUUUCACCUGAAAGACUAGCUGUUGCACAGGACAAUGUGAAAUUCUCUGAUACAGCUCAAUAAGAAAAGUUUGAAGGGCCCGAGAUUUAGCUCAGCGGUAUAAGCGCCUGCUGGCAAGCGCAAGGUUGCCAGCUGGAUCCCCAUACCAAAAGAAAAAAAGAAAGAAAGAAAAGAAAAGUUUGAAAGCUACGUUUAGUGACACAGGCCCAUAAUCCCAACAUUUCUAGGAGCCUGAGUCAGGAUUAUGGCAGGUUUGAGCCCAGUUUAAGCAAUUUAGCAGAGUCUCACCUAAAAAAGUAAAAACAACAAAAUUUUAAAAGGUGCUGGAAAAAAAGGGGUGGGGAUGUAACUCUGUGAAGGCCCUGGUUCAAUUCUAGUACUAGGGGUGGGGCAACCCACAAAAAAUUUGAUAGAUUUCCCUAAGUUUGAUAGCUAUUCUAAAAUAAGGAGUUGGAAAGCUGAAAGAAUCUUGACUUUUUUUUUUGUCAGUACCAGGGAUUGAACUCACAACUGCACACUUGCAAGGAGGCACUUAUGCCACUGAGCUAAAUCCCCAGCCCCUGAAAGAAUCUUUUAAGGUAGCAAUACAGUAAUCCUCUCCUUUUACACUUGCUCAGAUUCAGCUAUGUGUGGCCAAUUUGGGUCCAAAAAUGUUCAAUGGAACAUUCCAAAAAUAAUUCGUAAGUUUUUAAUUACUUUUAUUAUACCAUGUUUUUAUAAUCAUUCUAUUUCAUUAUUUUUGUUAGUCUCUUAUUUAUUUACUUUUUGGCUUUUUGAGACAGUCUCCCUAGGGAGUGCAGGCUUGCCCGGAACUCAUUAUGUAGCUCAGGCUGGCUUCACACUCAGGGCUAUCUUCCUUUUGCAGCUUCCCUGGUGCUGAGAUUACAGGUAUGCACUGCCACAAACAAUGUUAUUCUCACUGUGACUGAUUCACCAUAGAUAUGUUAUAUGUGUUGGAAAAUACAUCACCCUAGGGCAGCUGUCUGAAGUUUUGGGCGGCCUUUGGCAGGGGUUCUUUGAAUGCAUCCUCAAAGGAUAACGAGGAAUCACUGUAAUAACACAUUUUGAUCAGCCAUGAAAGCAAAAAGACUAAAUGAUUGAGGGUUAGUCUUGGGGACAUGAAUGUACCUUCUAGGUCACACCCUCAGAGACCCUCCUCCCAGCAGCUACUGAAUUCUUUGAUGAAUCCCGUGAUCCAGUCACCUUCCAAAUGCCUGGGUCUUUUGGGGGACAUUUUAGAUUUAAACCAUAACAUUGAGCUUCUUAGUUUCUCCCUAGGAAAUUCCAGAAAAUUGUUAAAGAGACCCUCAAAGAAUAUGAAGCCAGGCCCUGUGUAGUGGCUUGUGCCUCUAGUCCUGGCUACUUGAGAGGCUGAAGCAGGGGAAUUGCUUUUGCCCAGAAGUUGGAGCUCAGCCUAGGCAACAUAGCAAUUCUCUUUCUCAGAAACACAGUUUUUGAAGAUGAAUUUACAUAAAGCUCUGGCCUCACAAAAUCUAAAUCUGCCCUUAAAUAGUUUUGCUCCCUCCUGACUACUCUGAUUAGAGCAGGGCAUGUGUUUCUUCUCUUAGUUGUUGAGAAAAUGGCAGCUCAGAGUGGUUAUGUUGCUUUUCUGUGGCUUUGACUGGCACAACCCGAAUCUUUGGGUUCUCAGUUCACACCAGGGGUAAUUGCCCUAUUCUAAAACCUCCCACCAUCUUCAGGGGGUAGGGCCUAAGUGCACCCACUUGACCUGCUUUGGGUUCUGGUUGUAGGAGAGCCUAGUAAAGGCAAAAGGGCAGGCUGGUUUCUGAAGUGCCCUCACAUCUCAGAUGAGAGCAGCCUUCUCUGUGUCCUCCCACCCCUGCAGUGAAGAUUAAGCCUGAGCAACUGCACCCCUGAGCAACUGUUCCCUCUGUUAGGGAUAGAAGUAUGCGACUCUUAAAUAGAAUCAGAAUAAACUGAUUGCUGGGAAGGAUGGUUGGAUACCUGUAUUCUCAGUACAUGGGAGGCUGAAGCAGGAAGAUCAGCAUGAGUUUGAGGCCAGCCAAGGCUACACAGUGUGUUCAAGACUCGUCUGAACUACAUAUUGAGACCCUGUCUCACCCUCCCUUUAAAAAAAAAAAAACCAAAAACAGAAUAGACCGGUGAGCCGGCUGUGUGUGAAUAUGCAUAGGAACAUGUCUUUUGUUAAUUCUCAAGCCAAGUGUAUUUUUGGUCUGUUUCCCUGGAGACUGGUGGGGAGUACGGAGAGACCUUACCAAGCAUAAGUAUAAUUUUGCCAGUUCGUUUCCUUUGCAUUUCCCCAAAUUAGUCACCCCAGCUUUCCACCUGAGCUGAUUUUUCCAAGGUCACUAACAACUUCGCUGCUAAAACCAACUUUUCAGGCCUUAAUCUGUUCUUUCCUGCUGCUAGUGGUCUUUUCAAAUGUCAGCCUUCAUUUAAACUCCUUCAGUGGAUCUUCACUGCUUUUAGGAUUAAGACUCACAUGACUGGCCCCAGUCUCUGGUGUUACCCCAGUCCAAAUGUACUCAUUUUUCCUUUCUCCAGAGUCCUGCUCGGCCCUGAUAACAAGGCCUUCACAUAUGUGCCUUCAGUCGCUAUUUUAUUUAUAAGUGCUACUUAACAGACAUUGUUGUAUUGGAGAUACCACAGGGAACAGAGUGGCACACAUUUCUGCCAUUCUAGAGCUCACCUCCCAUUGAUAGUACUGAUAUGUGUUCCACCUCCCCAUCCCCACUUUAGUUUUUUGGACAGGGUCUCCCUGUAGUAUCUCAGCUGGCUUUGAAUUUGGAACCUCCACCUCUGUAUCUGAUGCUGGAAUUACAAGCCUGAUUUUUGUUCCUUGCUGAAAUAUUUUUCUUCUUCCUUUUUCUCCCCAUUGAUUUAUUGAUAUUUAUUGAUAUUCCCCAAUAUUAUUGAUACUGCUUUAUUGAGAUAUAUUUCAACAUACCUUAAAAUUCAUGCAAUUUGUUGGCAUGGUAGUUCACAUUUGUGAUCCCAGCACCCUGGAAGGCUGAGGCAGGAGGAUGGCAAAUUCACAACCACCCCAGGAGACUUAAUAACUUAGCAAGAAUCUGUCUUGAAAUUAAAAAGAAAAGAUUGGGAAUGUAGCUCAGUGGAAGACACUGGGUUCAGUCCUUAAUACACACACACAAUCACAUACAUACAGGCAUGUGCACAUACACAAGAAGAAAGAGGAGUUUUAUAAAAUUUACUUAAAGUGCACAAUGUAGAAUAUUCAGAGUUUUGCGACUGUCUCCACAAUCAAUUUUAGAACUUUUUCACUCCAGAAAAAAGCCGUUUCUGUUAAUAACCACUUGCUUUCCCCUACAAUGUGCCUAGCCCUAAACAACUGAUCUACUUUCUGUCUGUAUGGACUUGCCAAUUCUGGAUAUUUCCUAUAAAUGAAGCAUGGGAUCUUUUUAUUAUUUAUUUAUUUAUUGGUACUAGGAAUCGAACUCACAACCUUGCUCUUUUCCAGUCAGAUGCUUGUGCCCCUGAGUUAUAGUCUUGGCCCCAUCAUGUGGUCUUUUAUAACAGCUUCUUUCGCUUAGCGUGCUAUUGCUGGUAUCAGUACCUUUUGUCAAAUGAUAUUUCAUUGUAUGUUAUGCCAUGUUUCACUUACCCACUUCAUCAGUUGAAGGGCAUCUGGGUGGUUUCUACUGUUUGGCUAUGAUGAGUUAAGUGGCUAUUUUCCGGUACAAGUGAUGGUAUGAACAUAUGUUUCCAGUUUCCUGGGUAUAUUCUUAGGAGUGGAAUCGCUGAGUCAUACGAUAACUCUGUGUUCAGUGUUCUCAGAAGUUGCCAUUCUGUUUUCACAGCAGCUGCACUAGUUUACAUUCCCAUCAGCAGUAAUGAGGGUUCCAGUUUCUCCACAUCCUUGCUGUUACAGAGUGAAGACCCAAAGAUACAGCGGAAGACACUGUCUAAAUUUAUGCUGAGGUUGGAUGAAGUAGGGACAGCCACGGAGAGGUGUGAUGGGACAAGAAGGAUAUGAACUAACGGUAACAGAUGGAGCCGGGAAACCCAUCAAGGCCAGGCUGCUCAACUUCCUCGUGCGCUCUGUGGUAGCAUUUCUUCCUCUCUGGUGUGGGAAAGGACCCUUCAGGAAUGAGCAUCCUAAUUCCUGCAUGCUCAGCGGCUACUCAGUUGGGGAAGGUAUAAGUUAGGUUAACGUUUCAUGCCCAGCCCAGGAAAUACAGCUGUGAUGGGUGUCUCAGGGAGAAAAGCAUUCUAGUUUCUCCGAUCUGCCAUAAAAAAGAGGAAUUCUAGUUUCUAGGGCUUGCCUGGGGCGAGAAAGUGAGGACAGCAGGCAGCAGGACAGGGCAGGAGAUCAAAAAGGGGUUUUGUGUUUUGAGGCUGCUUCCCAGACUGUUUGUCUGUUUCCAUUAAAAAUACUGUGUAUGCCAGGUGCCAUCAUUUUCUGAGCUUAGCAGAUGCUACUGCCCAAGGAGACUUCCAGAAGGUAGGAAAGCAUCCUGAAAGAAGUCCUCCCACAGCAACUUCCAACGGAGCUAGCCCCAGUGACACCUUGACCGUGGGCAUCUGGUACUCAGAAAUGUGAGACAAUAAAUUUCUGUUGCUUACACCA